GAUGAACGCUGGCGGCGUGCCUAAUACAUGCAAGUCGAGCGAACAGACGAGGAGCUUGCUCCUCUGACGUUAGCGGCGGACGGGUGAGUAACACGUGGAUAACCUACCUAUAAGACUGGGAUAACUUCGGGAAACCGGAGCUAAUACCGGAUAAUAUAUUGAACCGCAUGGUUCAAUAGUGAAAGACGGUUUUGCUGUCACUUAUAGAUGGAUCCGCGCCGCAUUAGCUAGUUGGUAAGGUAACGGCUUACCAAGGCAACGAUGCGUAGCCGACCUGAGAGGGUGAUCGGCCACACUGGAACUGAGACACGGUCCAGACUCCUACGGGAGGCAGCAGUAGGGAAUCUUCCGCAAGGGGCGAAAGCCUGACGGAGCAACGCCGCGUGAGUGAUGAAGGUCUUCGGCUCGUAAAACUCUGUUAUUAGGGAAGAACAAAUGUGUAAGUAACUAUGCACGUCUUGACGGUACCUAAUCAGAAAGCCACGGCUAACUACGUG
rnacentral:rRNA from 1 species